GGAGACAUGGCUCAGAGGUAGAGCACCUGCCUGGCCAGCAUGAGGCCCUAAGUUCAAACCCCAGUACUGCCA
rnacentral:tRNA from 1 species